AGAGCAUGAUGAACCAAUUCAGUUCUGCUUCUGACAUUAUUUGAAGAUAACAUACCCCACGAUCCUGAGUU
rfam:Danaus plexippus plexippus isolate F-2 unplaced genomic scaffold DPSCF300304, whole genome shotgun sequence.